UCAGUUACUCGUGAAAGCAGCCACUAAUACUUCUAUUAGGGUAAAUCAACUGCGAGCCCAGGAUUUAGGGGUGUUCGAUCUCGGGGAGGUUGAACACAUAUUGACAUCCAAAACUAUUUUGGUUUUCAGGAUAUUUUUAAAAUUUUAUACCAAUUUUCGUAUAUUAUUUAUAUAAUUAUACCUAAUCUGCAUCGAAUUUAACGGGUGACGAAACAACACAAAAUAGAAUAUAGGUCCGUCCUGAGGUAGACUGUGCAUACAUCACACCCCUUUGGUGCGAUUUUUUUUUCCUAAUAAUGUCUUAAUGUGGAAUGCUUUGUAAACCAGACUACCUAAUCCCAAGUACUAGUAGUUCUACUUCUUUAAGUCGGGUAGAAGGGGUGAGGAGAAGAGAGAGAGAAAGAAUGAAGUUCUUGUUCCAAUGUCCAUGCUGUUCUUGUUUCUGUUUCAUGAAGCCCCAAAAGGGCAAACCAAAAGCAAAAGUGGAAGAAGCAAAACCAAAAGCCAAAGUGGAAGAAGCAAAACCUAAAGAUAAGAAGGUGGAAGAAGCAAAACCAAAAGAGAAAGAAGAAAGCACGCCAGAAUGAAAGCAUAGAGGACAUGGGAUGAUGAUGCAGUUAUACUGUUCUGAUGCAAGUAAUAUUGUUCUUCAUUUACUUAAUUUACUUCUAGUCAUAAUUUAUGGUGUGCAGUCUUUUAACUCUUUUGAAAAAAGCACCUCCUAAAUAUUGUAAUCGUAUGACAAAAUAUUUGCACUUUAUUCUCUCUGAAAUGCAAACCUAGUCUUCAUUAUUAUGUAUGUUUAGAUCCUUUGUCGCACUCAUGUUGGAUUCUCAAAAAAUACAUACUUUUUAAAAGAUACAAUGUAGAAAUUUUGAAGUAUAUGAGAAACAUAACUUGUUAAUAGUUAGAUUUCUCUUAACUAAAUUCCUCAAAUGAUUAUCAAAUUUAGAGUUUUUUUUCCCUUUAAAGGUCAAACAAAAAAUUAUUUUUUGUUAGUGUAAAGUCACUCGAAAUGAAGAUAGAAUCUCAAAAAAUAACUAUAGAUAGAAAAAACACAUAAGCAACUUUUUUAUACUAUACGAAUCCAAGCGAUAAAAGGCUAAAGUGAAUCCUCAACAACAAUUUCAAUUUUAAGAAAGAUGACAUGAUGAUUGACUACGGGGACAGGGCAUAUCUCAUUCAGAGUGUGUUUUAUUGAAAAUUUGGUACUUUAAAUUUCCGUUUUGUCAGUAGAUUGCAGAUACACAAUGGCAUCUGCACUAAACAUACAUCUUGAACAAGUAAUAUAUUCAAGUCUUUUAUUUUUUUAUUUUAAAUAAAGGCUGUUAAUUAAUCAAGAUCAGAAGACACAUAAUCCUGAUCACUUGAUCUAUUAAUUAAGACAAAAUUUAUUGCGACUUAGUAAGCUUCAUUUGUAUAUGAAUAUAAAAUCACUACUUGAAACUACAAAUUUGGGUAAGGGUUGAUUUGAAGUUGAAAUUAUGUUUGGAUAUAUAAUUUAACUUUCAAAAAUUACUAUUUUUUCUUAUAAAUUUGAAAAAAAAUUCUCAGAAAUUGUGAAAUCUAUGAAUUUUUUUUCAAACUCCUUUAUAAUCUUAUAAAAGAAGCAAAUGAUAAGUCAUAAAUCCAAGGUAUUGGAAUAUCCUAAGGCAACACAUUAGUAUUUAACAUAGAUUUCAUGUCCCUUUUAUAAAAAUUUGCUUGUAAAUACGUGUUGUUAUAAAUGUUGAAAUGCAUAUAACUUCAGAAAGAUCCACUAAUUCAAUAAAUUAACAAUAGUACUCUUAGGUGUCGUUUGGUUUGAAAAUGGUUAUCCCGCGAUAAUUAAUACCGGAAUUAGUUAUCCCGGGAUUACCCGGGAUAACUUAUUGUUAAAAUUGAUCUUGGGCCUAACUCACACCUCAAAAGCUAGCUCAUGAGGAGGAGAAUUGCCCAAGCCUUAUAAAGAGAUCACCCAUCUCAUUAACCACCAAUGUGAGACUUUCUUUUCAAUCUUUUUAACAACCCACCUCACGCCCAGACCUCAACUGGCCGUUGACAAUACCAUGUUAAAAUUGGGCUUGAGCCUAACUCACACCUCAAAAGUUAGCUCAUGAGGAGGAGGGCCCCCAAAUUGAGAUGUCGGGGAGAUUGUCCACGCCCAGUUGAGGUCUGGGCCCCAGUUAAGGUGUGGGCGUGAGGUGGGUUGUUAAAAAAAUUGAAAAGAAAGUCCCAAAUUGAUGGUUAAUGAGAUGGGUGAUCUCUUUAUAAGGCUUGAAUAAUCCUUUUCCUCGUGAGCUAGCUUUUGAGGUGUGAGUUAGGACCAAGACCAAUUUUAACACUUAUCCCCACCAUGUAUAUGAGAUAAGUUAUCCCGGGACUAAGGGGAAAAUGGUGGAAUAAGUUAUCCCGGGUUGGAUUAAUCCCUCCAAGCAAACAAAGGAAAAUGUGUUCUUUUAUUUUAUCCCGGGAUAAUUAGUUAUCCCAGGAUAAUUAGUUAUCCCGGGAUAACCAUUUUCAAACUAAACGAACCCUUAGUACCAACAUCGAUUGUGGUGUAGUGGUAGGACUAUUCCACCCUUAGCCAGAGAUCUCGGGUUCGAGUAUAAGUAUGGAGAAAUUUUGGUUGGGAGUGUCACCCUCAAAAUGGGCCCUAUAAUGUGCGAUCCGAAUUAGUCGGAGCUUCAAUACGAAAACCGAACACUAGGUGGAAAACAAAAAAGAAUAGUGCGUGGUCCUAGUAACAAUCUAUUCCAUAAUAUAAUCAUUCGAACAAUCAAUUCACAUCGAGUACUUGUCUAGUUUUACAAAUUUCAAAAUUACAAACUUUUUUCUCGCAAAAUUAAAAUUAUGGAUCAAGUUUUGAUUUCUACAAUAAUUAAAACCAUAAAUCUGAAAUUGAAAUCUACCCUUUAGGUUAAUUUGAUAUUUGAAAACAACAUUUCAAAUAAAAGUUGAAGUUUUUUUUGAAAUAUUAUAAAUAAAUACAAAUUUAAAAUCUAAACAUCAAAUUUAUAGUUCAAAUUGCAUUGCCAAACACCUGUUUAGUACUUGCAGUUUAUUUUAAAAUAAAGAAAAACGGGAGAAUGAUCGCAUUUCCAGUGUAAUGAAUAACUUUUUCAAGUGGCAACAAUUUUGUGGACUCUAAUAACAAACUAAUUUGAUAAAUCCAGGAUCCAUUUUAUGGUGGGUCUUCUGAAAUUAAAAAUUGAGUUCACCACUCAAGUCCAAAAGAAAAGGUCUCAAAGGACAAUGUUGGAACUAUUGCACUAGUACCUAUAUAGGGGAAAUUUUAGAAAUAACAAACUUGAGUUUAUAAUUACUUCUUCCAUAAUAAUACUUUGCUAGUUACAUUCCUUGUGGUGUUCACGGUUUGAUUAAAAAUCAAAUCGAACCGUAAAUCAAAUUAAAUUGAUUAAAAAAAUUUGAUAUUUAGUUAGGUUUGGUUUGGUUUAAUUUUUGACAUGACCUACCCUGGGACCUUGUCCUAAUGGGCGUCCCAAGUUCGAUCAGGAUCGGAGACCACCUCUGUUACCCAACCCAACCUCCAACCUCCAGCCACCUGCCCUGAGUUGGUUGAAUUCCGAGCAUGUAACAAGAUAGUGUAAAAGCUCACAUAAAAGCUCUGGGAUAAGAUCACAACCUCGUCCGAUCCAAUCGAGUCACCAUCCCAUACCAAUAAUCCAACCAUACCAAACCAUACCAAAACAAGGGCCAUAAACUAAUCCAUAAUCAAAGAUAAUGUUCCAAAACGUAAUAUAAUUAAUACCAAAAUGAAAUAUGACGGAACAGUGAGAAAUUAUGUCCGAUGAUGCAGACCUCCCAGCUUAUUCCAAUGCCAAGGUUGACACCUAUGUCCGAAAAAAGAAAUAAUAUUAGAUUCAGAAUAUUAUUGGUAUCUUAUAAACCUAAAUAAAGAAUAUACAAAUUUAUAUGACGUUUUACUAUAACAAAGAAAGUUAUAUAAUAGUUUACUCGAAGUCUUACCAGGUCUAAGCGGAGAGGUUUAUCAAGAACUAAGACAAAAAGAUAAUAGAUUAUCAUAAGUACAGAUCAAAAUAUUUUACUACAAAGACGAAAUAAAAAUAAAAUAAAUUUGGACACAAAAGAACGCUAUUUAUCUAGCUUAAUGAGAAGACCUCGUAGAACUACUAUGUCCUACAAAGAGAUUAAGGAAACAUUAAAUGACCUAUAUUUAGAUUAUAAGAGACUUAAUAAUACAAAAGAAGAUCAUAUAAGACUAGAUCAGCUAAUCACCAUAAUAUCCCGACUAUAAUAUAAAUUGAUAGGAUAUCUCAAAUCUAGGGAUAAAUGAGAAUAUACCUGUGGGGUAGAAGUAUACAACUAAAAUAUUUGUACGUAAAUCGAGAAAUAAUACUAAGAAGAAAGGCGGUAGAAUUAGAAAAAGUUUUAAGUAAUUUUUUGAGUAUACUAGAAUCAUCGAAAACACCAAAAUCAUGACUUUUAAAAGAAUAUAUAAGUGCCUUAAAGGGGGAAUUAGAAGGUAUUAGGAGUGAUAUAGAAUGAUAUAAUAAACAAAUAAGACUUCAUAGAGAACAGUGUAGAGAAAUUAUUCCUUUAGGAUAAAAGUAAGCCACAGUAAAUAAAAAAGAUAUAUGAAAACACAUCCUUUUGCUCGACUAGUACAAAGACCAUAUAAUCAAUUAUAUAAAGAAUUGAAACAACAACAACAACAACAAUAACAACCCAGUAUAUUCCCAUAAAGAAAGAAUUGAAACAAAGAAACGAAAUUUUAAAAAAUAGAACAAACCUUAAUAAAUCAAAUAGAGGUAGUAGAAACUAUAGAAUUAUCAGAAGCAAUUAUAAUUUCAGAACCUAUAAAUCUUUAGACUGCAUAGAUCAUAUAAACUUGUUAAAUUAUAAAUUAGAAGGUAUUAGAUAUUGCAUAGAAUAUAGAAAUAUUAGAAUAAAAUCCAUUAGAGAACAAUGUAUUAGCAAUACUUUUCGUUAGGGUAAGAAUAGUGUUGGAAUUGAUAACUUAAAGAAAUUAGAGUAUUUAGAUCUAAAAAUUCAGAUGGAGAAGAAAUAUAGAUGUUUUAAAGAUAAUUCACUUAUUAGGUGUAAUUUUAACAACGGUGAACAUAUAUUAUAUGGAGAAGAUCCACAACCAAAUACUAUUACAGACCUUAUAAUAAAUCUAGAAGAACUGGUUCAAAAGAAAAUACUAAAAUACUAAAGACUCUAGAAAUAUUUGAAGAUCUGCAAAACAAACAAAAGAAACUGUUAGAUAAAGUAGAAUAAAAUUUUGAUUUCCUAAAGAAUUAACAAGCAGAACUAGAAAAGAAAGUUAAAGAUUUAAUUAAUAAAGAUAAAGAGGGUAACCUAGAACAUCCUGAAAUAAAACUAGUGCUACAAGAAAUAAGAAAAGAAAUGAAUCAAAUAAAAUAAAUAACACUCUCAUGAAUAAUAUUUCUAUAAAUGAUCAACUCUACUUAGCAAUAUUACAAAAGGCAACACAAAUUCAAUCAAACCCCAAAGGAUUAUCAGAUUAUCAACCUCAAGGAAAAGCAGACUCCAUAGUCAUAAAAUUAAAUAAUAUUAUAAUAUUGUUAUUAUUAGAACUUAAUAAAAAUCUAGAAAAAUCAAAACAACAAGUUAGCCAAGAUAAAAAUAUAGAAGAGUUAAUAGAGCAAUUAAAGAAAAUAGAAUUAAUCCUUCUGAAAGAAAAAGAAAAAGCUAAAACGACUAAACCUAAAACAUGGACCUUUUUCCAACAUCCAUAAGCAAGCCAAGAUCAAGUUUUAUCAAAGACAGAUUAACAAAUAGUGUGAUAUCCAAAAUAACAAGUAGACCAAAAAUGACUUCAAGAUAACAACUAGAAGAAAUAGUAGACGUGGAUAAAGAUAUACAAUUAUUCCAACAAAAUAAAUUAAAACUUUUGAGAGCCAAAACUUCAUACAAUGAAGGAAUAUUUUCAACAGCAUAAUUAUAUAGGUGUUAUAGAGAAGAACAACUAUGUGUUAUUAGAGAAAAUAGCUAUAGUAUAAAUUUAAUAAGCACAAACUCUUUAAAAGAAAUUACAAAAUUAAACUUGAGCCUUCUGCACAUGAGACUAAUAGUAAUAGGAUUAAAAGGAUUAACUAGGAAGAACAUAGGAAUUAAAGUAUUGGUUACAAUAUACGAUAAUAGAUGGUCAGAUUCAAAAAGGUCUAUAAUAUAAAUAAUUGAAGUAGACAUGUCAUGUAAUGGAGGACUUUUUUAUUAUAGUCCAGACUAUAUGACAAAUUCUCUAGAAUUUGGAAAGUACAUAAAAAUAGGUAUUCAGACUAAAGGUUAUGAAGAGAUGAAUAAUGGAAAUAACUUACUAAUAUGUGUAGGUUUUAGUGGAAAACUUUCCACUAAUAGUGAUACAAAGUUUAAGUUAAAAAUAGAGGACGUAGUAAGCUUAAUGAGGAAUAAAGGAAUAAGACUAAUAAAGCCAUUAAAGAUAAAUUCAGAAGAAUAUGCACGACUAGCAUAGGAUCUAGAGAAAUUUAGUAAGAAAGAAAUACUAAACCCAACUGAUCAUUUUAUGUAUACGAAUAAAAAAGAAAGAACCUCAGUCAGAUUCACCGACUAUACAUAUACAAAUAAAAGAGAGAUAGAUGAGGAAGCUGAAGCAAGUGAAAAUAAUAACUAUAUGAAUAUAGAAAUAAUAGAAGAAGAUGGUUUCGAAGUAAAUAAGUCCAUAAUGAAAACAGAAUCCCUAUACGAAAUAAAUAACAAUAGAGUGUUUAAAUGUAUAGGCUGUAAAAUAAGAAAUCUAAAGCUUACCGAAGUAAAAAAACAUUUUAUCAAAUGUAAAUUAAGAACAGAUAAUUAUGGUUAUACAUUCAAAAAGAAAAGCAAAAAAGAAGAUUUAGAAAUAAUUUACAGUAUAGAUAAGAUAGAAAGUAUAACUACAAAAAAUUUACCAAGAUAUAGAGUAUUUGGAAUAAAUCCUAAAGAAUAGACAAAACAAAAUAUAAAACCCAGAGGAAGAAGAAUGCCAAUAAAAGAGCCCAUUAGAUUACAAGAGGGUGGUAAUAAGGAAAAUAUUUUAAAUCUGGCGACUCAUGACCCUCAGACGUGGAAUACUGCAAUAGACCUAUGAAAAAAUCUAGUUGUAGCAAAUUACAUACAAGCUAAUCAAGAACCAGAUAUAGAAAAUAUGUAUAGAUAUCUAGAAACAUUCAUAGGAGAAACUACUAAGCCGUUAUAGGAAGCCUACAAGACAAACUUCUCCGAAGAUUUUCAAAGAUUGGUAGAUUUAGGAUCCAAUCCAUAUAAUUUUGUAAAUAAAGUACAUACUUUACUAAUAGGAGAAGAUCCCAAUAGUGGAUUAAUAGUAUUACAGAAAAAGGCUUUAAUAAAUUUAGAGAAAUUAAGUAUAAAUAAUUGGUCAAAAAUUAAGGAAUUUCUAAAUGAGUAUUUCUAUUAUUGUAUCAUUAGUGGAAACUCCUUUGACUAGUCUCGAGAAAAAAGAUUGUUUAAUAAAUUACUUGGAACCUUAGUAAGAGAAAUAUAAAAAAAUGAUCUAAAAGAGAAGGAGUAGUACAAAACUCGAGACACUAAAUGGUCAACAAGACAGAGAAUACAACAUGUAAUGGAAGUAUUACAAGAAAAGUGUACAAAUACACAAAUACAAAAAUAAUUAAAAAGAAGUGAUACAGAUUUCUAUAAAAAUAUAUAUACUACACAACAAUAUGAUCAAGAUUAUAAGAAAAAAAGAUAUAAAAAACUAUAUAAAAGGGAUUAUUGUCCUAAGAAAAAAAAUUAUUUAAGAAAGUCAAAAGAAAAAAAUCAUUUCUAAACAAAUAGAGACAUAUAAGAAAAUAUAACACCAAUAGAACUUAUAAAAAUAAAUUAGAAUGUUUUACUCAUGGAAGUAUAGAACAUUUAGCAAAUACUUGUCCAAAAAGAAAUAAUAGUAGAUCUAGAAAUGCACAACUAAUAGACGAUGUAAAUGAAAAUCUAAUAAAUAUAGAUGAAUAUAUGUCAGACAACCAAAGCAUAUACUCCAUCAGGAGUAUGGAGGUAUUUGAAGAAAAAAAAAUACCUAUUGGAUUCCUCGGAUUCUGAAGGAGAAGAAUUUAUAGAUGAAGUAGGAUUAGAAAAUAUAAUUCCAAACUAUCAUGAUUUAGUCAACUUUAUAGAAGUCUGUGAACAUGAAUUUGUAAGAGGUAAGAGACUAGACAGUAACCAAUGUUUUAAUUUGGAUGGUUUUCAAGUAAAAAUAAAAGGGCAAAAUGCAGAAAAUGUUAUAUAGAAGGAUGCAUAACUUAUAUAGAAAAAAACUCACAAAUACAAAAACUAGAAAUUUAAAUAGACAGGAACCAAUGAAUAAAAUAACGGAUUAUAAAAUAUUAGAACUAGAAGAAAGACAAAGAAGGUUGGAAAUAAGAAUAAAUAGACUCGAGAAAAAUAAAGAAGUAAUUAAGGAAGAAGAAGUAUUAGAAAUAAAAUUAUCGAGUACAUCCGUGAAGGAAAUAGUGGAUAAUCAAAAUAAACAGAAAAAAAUCAAUGAAUAUACCAUUCGAAGGAAUGAUAAGUAAUGGAGAUAAAAAGAUUAGUACAGUCAAAGUUUUAACAAGAAUAAGGAUUCAAAAUUAUGAGUUUGAAACAUUAGCCAUAGUAAAUUCAGGAUGUACAUGAAGUAUAUUAAAAGACUUAAUUUUGCCACCAUGACUAAUUAAAGAAUUACUAAAGCCACAAGACUCCAUGCCAAUGGAUGGAACUUAUAACACCUAUACAAAGUAUAUACCAAGAGCAAAAGUAAGUUUUAUUAACACUUGCAAAAAAUUCUAUCAGUCAUUAUUUAAACUUAAUGGAAUACUGGUUAGAGACUUAAACAUAAAGGCAGACUUUGUGUUAGGAUUAGAUUUUAUGGUACGAAAUAAUGGAGGAUGUUUUGAUACUAGAGAUUGGAUAAUUUUUGAGAGUAAUAUUACUCAUUCACUAGUAUAGACAUGACCUAUACUAACUAAUUAUAGUUUUCUUAAGGAUAAAUCAGAAGAAGAAAGCUCAAAUAGUCAAAUAAAACCCGACAAAUCACUAGAAUGUGAUAAGGGAGAAAAUUGUACAUGUAGUAACAAUAAAAAGAUAACAAUGUAUGAACAAUUAAAAGAUUUAUUAACAGUAGAAGAAUUAGAAAAAGACUACACUAUAAUAGAAAUGGAUAUAAAAUUAUACAAUUUUCAGAGAGAAAUACAACUGAUAGGUGUAAUGCCCCGUAAUUUGGGCUAUAAUAUAGACCAUGAUUUCGAUGUGUUGUUAAUCCCAAAGCUAUAAAAUCCUAUCCUGAUACGGCAUGUUAAUUAUUGUGUGGCAUGUGAAUCUACUCAAGCUUGAGUUUAGACCAUAGAGGUCCUUCAACUCAAGGGCGAGUUGAAACUAUUUCGAUCGACUAAGUUUUAGUGGAUGUUGUAAAGUGUGUCAGCUUCCAUCAAUCAUAAAUCUCUGUAUAUGUCGAAUUAGGAAGCCUACUAUGUGUCAAAUGAUAGGUAUUAGAGUUAGCUUUCCAACGAUACCAAUUUGGCUAUAAUCCGACACCCGAGUAAGAAGUUAUGGCCCUUCAAAGUGAUAAGCGUCGCCUAACCAUCGCCCAUGGCCACCAGAAGGCAUAGGAAAUAGCCUACGUGGCGCCUAUGUAAACAUAGGUGAUAGCCUAGGCGGCGCCUAUGUGAACAUAGGCAAUGGGAUGGGCGGUGCCUAUGUAAAGAAUUCUAGUGACUUAAACACUCCGUGUUGAGGACAAAGUGGUCCUUUUCCACCCUUACUUAGCCCUAAAACACGAAAUCUAAUUCUAAGGACCCCAAAAUACAUAUUAUUUCAUCAAAACUGCUUAAGGAUUCUCCUUAGGGUUUUAAAAUAAAAAUCCAAAUAGUUUAAGAUUUGACCGUAGGUUUUCAAAGGUAAUUACUGAUAACGCUCAAUCUACAGCUCUCGUGGGAGUGUAAAGCGGUCGUUAGCAAAUAUAGAACCCAACCUGGGUUGGGUAUCGAUCCCACAGAGAAUAGCUUGGCCAACAAGCAAGAGAAAUUACUAGACUUUUAGUGCAAGUCUCGUAGGAAAGGGGGGAUUGUAGUAUGUAACCAAAACAAGAAGGUAAGAACUGAAAAUAGCAAAAUAAAGAGAGAUUGUCACGUGUGUUGUAAACAAUGAGAAUUGAGGCGUUGGGGUUAUGUCCACCUUCUGAGGUAUACGUCUCUAUUGGCUAUGAGUGUGUAGAGUCUUGACAUGUAAUUGCUUAUAGAGAAUUGUAGUCGAUGGUAAAUCCAAGCGUCUCUCGACCUAAACAAGGACUAUUUCACUUUAACUCUCUCGAGCUUAAAGCGUGACUAACGGUACGAAUUCUCCAAGAAGUUAGUCCAGGUACGGCACUAGCUUUUUAAUAGGAAAGGGUGUCCUACUACCUUGACAUUAUCUCUUUUCCAGACAAAUAACUUUUCUCUCGAACAAGUCAGAUGUUAGACUGGCGUUGGUCUAUGCGUCUUCUUUUCUAGACAAAUAACCUUUCUCUCGAACAGGUUAGAUGUUAGAAUGGCGUGUUCUUGUGUUUGAACCGCAAAGAAUGUAGAUUUAAGAUGAAGAGAAUAAUGAUAUAAGCAAUAUACUUGUCUUGAACUCACAAACUCAUAGCUAUAGAUAGUAACUCAUUCGGCUUCCAUAACCCCAACUAAGAGAUUUAGUUACCCAUGAAUGCGAAGGAUAUCACGUUUUGCAUGGUGGAUGGCGUGAAUAGUAGGUGUUUGGCGUGUGGUUUUAGUGAUUCCGUAGCAAGUAACAAUUCUCUUGUUGUGGAAUUUAAGAGUAGAAGAAUGAAGAAUUGAGAAUGGGUUGUAGGAAGAUGUCUUAAUUGUAAGGAGAUGAAUGAAUUGUCAGAAUGUCUCCCUUCUUGAAAAUCUCUAACAUGAUAGGGUAUUUAUAAUACUCCUAUCCUACUCCUACUAAACUAAUAAAAUAAAUAACCAAAUCCUAAUAUACUAAUGAAAUCCUUGACCCAAUUGUACUAGGGUAAGGUUACAAAAUUAUAAUCCAAAUAGAAUGAUGAAACACAUAACCUAAUUGCACUAGGUUAAUGUAUUAUGGCAAAAAUCCAGCUUUGUGUCUGUAAGUCCCAAAGUCUUCAGAAAUGCUGUUUUAGCCCGGGACAGAUUUUCCAUGCAGCAGAUUUAGUCCUUUAUGCGUCCAGCUCCUUUCCAUCUCGUUUGUGAGCUUUCUUUUGCGUCAAGUAAGCCAUAAAUUGCUGUAUUUUGCAUCAUUUAUACCUGAAACUUUCCUAAUCACAUUUGUUAGCUCAUUUACAGGAAAAAGGACUAAAAGUGUACGAAAUAGAUAAUUAGUUCUCGAAACUAGGCUAAAAUAUGGGCAAAAUAUAUUGAUAUAGGCGCGUAAUUUCGCCUAUCAUCAACACCCCACACUUAGAGCUUUGUUCGUCCUCGAACAACAUAUCAUGUCCUUCUAAGCAUUGACUUAAGGUUUUUACAGAAACAACACAAAACAUUCUUCAAGACAAGCACAACAAUUAUCAACGAAGAGUAGCUUUCCGAUUAUAAGUAGAAACAAUUUAACCUCAAGCAUAGACUCGUGAUGGUGAUCAACUCGCAUGCAAACGUUUAAGGUACAUAGAAUCAUAUACAACUAUCCAAAACUCAUCAACCAUGUGUGUCUCACAAUAUAGUACCCAUAAUCACUCACAAGUAUAGCAUAUUUUUCAAACAUGGGCAGCAAAGUAUCCUUGCGCUCACUCUCACAAAGAAUUCAUAUGUAGCAGCUAAUGACCAUAGGCUUGCCCUUAAUGUAGUACUCCACUAAAUGUCGGAAUGUUAAGGUUAGGAUCAAGUAGGUCUUUUGAUGGUUGUAAUGUAGGCUAAGGGACGGGUAGGAUCAACUAUUUUGGCCAGAAAUAGUGACUAAGUUCCUAAGCACUUUAAUACAUCACAUUGUAUUAUUGACACUUUUUUGUAGCACCCUUGUUCUCCUCUUUUGUUUUUCAAUUUUAAAGCACAACUCACUUUUCAGCUUUCUUUUCCUUUUUCUUCUCACAACAUACCUCUUAUGAUAGCACUUUCUUUUUCAUAACAUAUUCAAGCACCAUUACAAUUUAAAGCAUCAUACUCAACCAAUUUCCUCUUAUGUUGUCACAUGACUUUUUCACUUUAAAGCACUUAGGAAUUUGGAUCAAAUUACGGUCUUGAAAAAAAAAUGAAUUAGGCUUACAUACAAGGUUGUCAAAGAAAUAGGCUAAAGGCUCAAAAGGGUUUAACUAGGAUGAUGUCCAUGGGUAGGUAAAACUGAAGGUAAACAAAUAUAGGUUGCCAAAGAAAUGCCUAAAUCAUAUCCUAAACUUACACUCCUUAUUUUCGCUUUGCAUACAUACCAGGCAAGUUCUAGCAUCAGCCACAUACAUAGAAUAUACUAUUAUCUCACACACACAAGGCACAUGGUCGACUUGAUUGGUAGCAAUAUAGACUCUCAACCCAACAAGUGAAGGAAUUGAAUCACACACUAUCACAUAAUGAGUCACAACUAGAGCCUAAAUGUCUCAAUAGUCACAAUUGUAAUACAUACUAUUGUUAUAAUCUCAUGCUGCCUAUUAAAAUAAUUUCAUGCGAGGCUAGAAAAAUUUUAACUACUAAAAACUAAAAAAAAAACGUCACACGAAAAAAAUCACAAAAAAAAAUCGGACUCAAAACAAAAUAAAUAAAACAAAAUAAACAAGCAAACAUACAAAUAUAGCAUGCAGAUUCUGCCGACACCCCACACUUAGACUAGACACUGCCCUCAGUGGAAAAUAAAGUCGAAGAACCUGAUUAGUCGGACUCUUCCUCAAUGUCAUACCCCCUUCGUUCGAGUCAUCGUAAGAGUCAUCGUCAGAGUUCUCCUCAGCAUCAGAAUCAGGCAAGCGUCUAUCAUCAUCAGUUGGCACGUCAUCAUCAAGAGGUUCCUCGAAAUAUACUCCCACUCCACACAUCUCCCGGGCAUGUCUGUUCAUUGGGUAGUCGUGGUCCAGCUGUUGGAGCUCUUCAGCAGUUGGAAUACGUCCACCACUCAUCAUAGUGAAUCUCGUCAUGCCAUAGAGAUGACGGAAGAAACUCUCGUCACGAGCAUGUCUCUCCGCAGUGGUAAGGUUGACUCCAUGCGUUGUUUCAGCAUCUUUGACCUUGGUGAGGUCAACCUUCUUUGGGGUAUGUGGGAGUUUGUGGUCAGCUGGUUCCUCCUCUAUAUCCUCCUUCCGCAACAUUGCUGUCAACAAAUUGCCGAAUGUGAAAUAGGACCAUUCACAUUCACAUCAGUCUGGCUUUCCUCAUGGUGGAUCGAAUGAUUGCCCCAAAGUUGAUAGGGACAUUCGUCAUUAAUGAAUAAACCAGGCACACUCUAUCUCUCGAUAUCUUUGUGUAUUGCGUCCCAGGAAUGAGGCAUGAGUUGACAAUGCGCAUCCAGAUUCUUGCUUCCCUAUUUAGUGGAGCAUAGGGGAAUGUGUUGUGACGGCCUGUUUCCUUAUGUCUGCCCCAUCUCGCCAUCGAUCUGCUUCCACAAAGCGUGUGUCUUAUAGCUCUGUAAGGAGGUCUGCUGUACAGCUCUUUGUAUGGUGCAGUGUCGACCGAAGGUAGGCCUAGAAACGAGUUGAUCCAAUCCGCUGUAAGCUGUAACACUUGGCCCCGAAUUUUGACUUCGUUGCCUGUUGUGUUUGGCGACCAGUUGGCAUAAAACUCUCUUGUCAAGUCAAGAUUGCACUCUCCCAUGUCACGGAAGAUGAAAUCCAGCUUCAAAGCCAUAAUCUUAGCCAACAUUUGCGGCUCCUUCUUUGCUAAGGUCUCCUUAUUGAUUAAGUCGACGUGCACAUAUUUCUUUUCUUUGUUGCUGCUGUACCAUGCCUUGGCUUCUUCCUCAAGAACCCAUUUGAUUCCGAACAUUCUGCGUGGUAGGUGUGCGGAAGAUGAUUCGCCUUGGUCUUUUCGGCUUCUCUUUUUGUCCUUGCGGGUUGUGGUAGCCUUCUCCUUGCCUUGCCUUGCUUUCGGUGCCAUUGUACCGCCUUUACCAUACAACGCGACCAAAUCGUCAAUUGAAAUCAAUCUCCUCGUUGCAUACUUCUUACACCUAUAUUUGCUCAAACAAAUGAAAACGAUUAGUACGAUGGGUUGCCUCCCACCAAGCGCCUUAGUUUUGGUCGUGGCACGACUCUUAUUUUUGGAUUUUCAUUUAUCAAAAAGAAAAAAUACUAAAACGACAAAACGAUAAAACAAUAAAACGAAGGGUUGCCUCCCAUCUAGCGCCUUAUUUAUUGUCGUGGCUCGACGUAGUAAUCUCGAGUACUUAGACUUCGUCGAGAUAAGUGAUGGCCAUGUCAUUUAUCGAGUCAAGAGGACCGAUAUAUGGCUUAACACGUUGGCCAUUCACCUUGAAGAUAACACCCUCAUUAUUUUCCAAUUCGACUACUCCAAACGAGUAGACGUGGGUGACUUUAAAUGGACCAGACCACUUUGAUUUUAACUUACCUGGGAAGAGCUUGAAUCUGGAGUUAAAGAGUAGCACCAUGUCACCUUUUUGGAAGUGUCGUCGAACAAUCCGCUGAUCGUGAUACUUCUUCAUCCGCUCCUUGUAUAAAUCUGAUCUUUCAUAAGCAUGGAGACGGAAUUCAUCUAGCUCGUUCAGCUGCUCCAACCUCAGGUUCUUCACAUCAUCCCAAUUCAGAUUCAAGUGCUUCAAUGCCCAUAAUGCCUUGUAUUCAAGCUCGAUGGGUAGAUGACAAGCCUUCCCAUAAACUAGCUGAUAAGGUGACAUGCCAAUGGGUGUCUUGAAUGCAGUCCUAUACGCCCAUAGUGCAUCAUCUAGCUUCCGAGACCAAUCCUUCCGAUUCGCAUUGACCGUCUUGGCAAGGAUUUGCUUGAUCUCCCGAUUGGAAACCUCUACUUGUCCACUAGUUUGGGGAUGAUAAGGCGUAGCUACCUUGUGUUGCUUGACUCCAUACUUGGCCAAUACAGAUUUGAAUAGCUUGUUGCAGAAGUGAGAUCCUCCAUCACUUAUGAUAGUACGAGGUACCCCAAAGCGAGAGAAGAUAUUCUUCUUUAAAAACGCUACAACACGCUUUCCUUCAUUAUCGGCCAAUGCUACAGCUUCAACCCAUUUCGACACAUAAUCCACAGCAACCAAGAUGUACUUCAUUCCAAACGAAUUUACGAAUGGUCCCAUGAAAUCAAUACCCCAUACAUCAAAGAGUUCUACCUCCAGGAUUGUGGACAUGGGCAUUUCAUGGUGUUUUGAAAUAACACCUUGACGUUGGCAUUGGUCACACCUUCUCACAUAGUCGUGUGCAUCUCUGAAUAUUGUAGGCCAAUAAUAACCACUUUGCAAGACUUUUCUUGCUGUUCGAUUACCCGCAUGAUGUCCUCCAACUUGCGAAGUGUGGCAUGCUUCUAAUAUAGUGGGCACUUCGUCAUGGGAUAUACAUCGUCGAAUGAUACCAUCCGCACAUCUUCGAAACAAAUAAGGCUCAUCCCAAUAAUAGUGCUGAACGUCAUGCAUAAACUUCCUCCUCUGGUGGUAAGAUAAAUUUGUAGGUAACACAUUACUCACCACGAAAUUCGCAAAGUCGGCAUACCAUGGUAAGUCUUCUAUUGUUGUCGCUAAUAUCUCCUCGUCAGGGAAUGCAUCGCCAAUCUGAUUUUCUGAUUGCGCCACAUACUCAUUCUCAAGUCUAGAUAGGUGAUCAGCCACUUGGUUCUCGCAACCUCUUCUAUCUUUGACUUCGAAAUCAAACUCUUGCAGCAGCAACACCCAUCGAAUCAGCCUUGGUUUUGCAUCCUUCUUUGUCAUUAGAUACCUAAGAGCUGCAUGGUCUGUAUGAACGAUCACUUUAGUACCUAAUAGGUAGGCGCGGAACUUCUCAAACGCAUACACAACCGCUAAUAGCUCUUGUUCAGUGACGGUGUAGUUCCUUUGGGCUUCAUUGAGGACCUUACUCGCAUAGUAGAUAGGAUGAAAUAAUUUCUCCUUUCUCUGUCCAAGAACAGCACCAACGGCUACACCACUAGCAUCACACAUGACUUCGAACGGGAGCGUCCAAUCUGGUGUUACCAUGAUAGGGGCUUCAACGAGUUUUUCUUUAAGGCAUUCAAAUGCCUUUAAGCAAUCAUCAUUAAAGUCAAACUUCGCAUCUUUCUCCAAUAGCUUGCAUAAUGGACUAGAAAUUUUGGAGAAGUCUUUGAUGAAUCUACGAUAAAACCCAGCAUGGCCAAGAAAACUACGAACUCCCUUCACCGAAAUUGGAGGUGGUAGCUUCUCAAUUACCUCUAUUUUGGCGCGAUCAACCUCUAUUCCUUUUUCGGAGAUCUUGUGCCCAAGAACAAUUCCUUCUUUUACCAUGAAGUGGCACUUCUCCCAAUUCAGCACAAGGUUGAACUCUACACAUCUUUGUAAUGCCAUGCUUAAAUUCACCAAACAUGCUUCGAAAGACUCCCCAACAACUGAAAAGUCGUCCAUAAAUACCUCCAAAGUGUCUUCUACCAUAUCAGAGAAAAUAGACAUCAUACAUCGCUGAAAGGUGGCUGGUGCAUUACAUAACCCGAAUGGCAUACGUUUGAAGGCAAACGUACCAUAUGGGCAUGUAAACGUUGUCUUCUCUUGGUCUUCUGGUGCAAUAAAAAUCUGAUUAUAACCUGAAUAACCAUCAAGAAAGCAAAACCAUCCUUUUCCCGCUAAUCGAUCUAGCAUUUGGUCCAUAAAUGGCAUGGGGAAGUGAUCCUUGAGAGUCCAAGAAUUCAGCUUGCGGUAGUCCAUGCAUACUCUCCAUCCAGUGACGGGCCUGAGUGGAAUAAGCUCAUUCUUUGCAUUCGCAACCACCGUCAUACCUCCUUUCUUGGGAACACAUUGUACUGGGCUUACCCAUGUACUAUCAGAAAUAGGAUACACAACUCCUGCGUCUAACCACUUGAUAAUCUCCUUCUUCACCACCUCUUGCAUUGGUGGGUUUAGACGUCUUUGGUGUUCGAUGGUGGGUGUGCACUUUUCUUGGAGCUGAAUUUUAUGAGUGCAAAUUCCAGGUGGAAUACCAAGGAUAUCCGCAAUGGUCCAUCCAAUAGCUCUAAUAUACUUGCGUAAAAUUGCAAUAAGAGCUGCAACUUGUUGCUCACCUAAAUCGGCUGCCACUAUGACUGGAAGAGUGUUUCCGCUUCCUAAGAAUGCAUACUUCAAAUGGCUUGGCAGCUCCUUUAAUUCUAAUGUGGGUGGUUCUUCAAUAGAUGGCUUAGCUGGUGGUGUGGGUCGAUUCUUGAGAUCAAGAUCCAGCUUCUUAGGAGGAUAGCGAUAUGCUCCUAAUCCCGAUAGAGCACAAAUAUCAUCUUCAGAAAUUUCAGCAUCAUCAUCAUCUUCUUCCAUGAGCAAAACCUCCAAAGGAUCAUCAAGAAUUUGUUCUUCAGCAAGUAACUCAUCCUCGUCAUCAACGACAACAUCAGUCACAGAAAAUACACUUAGAUCUUUGGGUUGCUUCAUUGAUUUGCAAACAUCAAAGCGCACCACUUCAUCAUUUAUUCGGAAUGAAAGUUCAUUAGCUCUCAAAUCUAUGAGCACACUUCCCGUAGCAAGGAAAGGGCGUCCCAAGAUUAUGGGAACCUCUGAAUCUGCUUCGCAAUCCAAGAUGACAAAGUCUGCUGGAAAUAUGAAUGAAGAUACCUUCACCAAGACAUCGCAUAGAAUACCAACCGGUCGUUUUACCGACCUAUCCGCCAUAACAAGCUUCAUAUUAGUUGGUGUAGGAUCUCCCAACCCCAACUUCUUGUAGAUUGAUAAUGGCAUCAAGUUGAUGCUGGCUCCUAAGUCACAUAAUGCUUUAGCAAAGUCCAAAGAUCCGACGGUGCAAGGAAUAGUGAAAGCUCCGGGGUCGGCCUUCUUCUGAACUAUGGAUCGGGUAGCUAUUGCACUACAAUGAUGCACAUCUUCUUUCAGCUCAUAGCUUGCUGCCCUCUUCUUAGUCAAAAGAUCUUUCAUAAACUUCGCAUACCCAGGCAUUUGUUCAAGUGCCUCUACCAAUGGGACAUUAAUAGUCAGCUGCUUCAAGAUGGUCAUGAACUUGCUGAACUUAGUGUCAUCGGCCGCCUUCUUCAGUCUUUGUGGAAAAGGUGGUGGUGGGUAUGGAAGUGUUCUUUCCAUGGCUUUCUUCUCCUCUUGCUUCCGUUUAUUACUUUUUUCAGGCUGCACGUCACUAGGCAACACGUCCUUGACGUUGGAAGUGGAUAUUGCGGCGUCUUCCCUAGUGGCGUCACUAGGUGUGGCGGUUGUGUCUGCUGUUCUGUCAACUAUUUGCUUGCCUUCUGCUGAAGUUUCCAGCACCUUACCACUCCUCGUAGUGAUGGCCAUGCAUGACCCAUCAGUCCUUGGAUUUUGCACCGUAUCGCUAGGCAAGGUGCCGGCUUUUCUUUGGUUGAGUGUUGCUGAAAGUUGACUGAAUUGCUGCUCUAGUUGCUUGAUAGAAGUGGAAUGAGAAUCAACUAAUUGCUUCAUGGAGGCCAAAUCGUCAAUCACCUCCUUAACUCCCGCAUUCGUCGCUUCCACUCCUUUCAAUAACUUAGCCAUCAUGUCUUCCAUAGAAUUAGAUGUGGUGGUAUCACGUCUACCAGGGGGAACGUACAAACCACUGUUUUCAUUAUUUUUCUUCCAACUACCUUGGUCUUUACCUCCAGAUUUGUCAUAAUAGUUCCGACCUUGGUUUCCUUGGGCAUUCCCACGGAAACCCCCCUGAUUGUUCAAGUAGUUGGCCUCCUCUUCUGAAUCAGAUUCGUCUCUUCCUUUUGACGCAAUAGAUUUCACUUUUUCAGUCUUCCCUAAUAGAUGCUUUGUAAGAAGAUCCAUUUGGGUUUUCAUGUGCGCCAUAUCUUGAUCACGUUCUUCUUCUCUCCUUCUUUGAUCUGCAGACAUGCCAAUAGAUAAAGUGGGGCUUGCUACCUCAGAAUCCCUGGUAUGCCAAGCUCUACUUUGUUUCGUCAUACGAUCUAGCAUGUUGCUUGCUUGACCAAAGGUGAGGUCCAUAAAAGAACCUCCAGCUGCGUUGUCCACCACUGGUUUAGUUACUGAAUUCAAGGCUCUAUAUAAGAUCUCCAUGAGGUGAACAUUAGUCAUGUGAUGGUUUGGGCAUCUCGCUAGCUUUGUCUUGAACCUCUCCCAUGUUUCGUGAAGAGCUUCAGAGGGAAGCUGACGAAAGUUGCUGAUUUCAUCUCUCAAUUGAGCCCUCUUGGAUGGCGGAAAGAAUCUUUCUAGGAAAGCGUCUCUCAAUUGCCUCCAAUUUGUAAUAGAAUCAGGAGUCAGCCCAUUCAACCAUAAUGUUGCCUCCCCAGACAGAGACAAUGGAAAUAGACGUAAUCGAAUAGCAUUCUGACCAACUCCAGGAUUGUCAAAAGACUUGCAUGUAGAAAUAAAGUUGAUGAGAUGCAUAUUCGGAUCAUCGCCUGCUAGUCCACCAAAUAAUCCCUUGAGUUGCAAUAACUGAAUCAUGGUGCUAGUGAUGUUGAACUUGGCUCCGGGCGCUAAUGGUGGUGGAAUUAUAGCUCCAGUGGCUCCGGCACCAUCAAGAUCAUCAUCAUCAUCGUCGAAAGCUGGUUGCAAAGGUUGGCGAUCAUAUCUGUACCGAGCUUGUCGACCUCGUCUGUUGGUAGGUGUUGCCAUUUCAGCGCCAUGCCUUGGGUUGAUCAACUCGUCAUCUCCUAAAUCUUCAUCGUCAGGAUUUGUUGCUCGUCCAGGAUUAUCAAUGUUUUGUUGUUGGACUUGAGCAGCGGCAAGAGCAGCUAAUCUUGCUUGCUCAUGUUGAGCAGCCAUCCUGUCGAUUUCCGCUUGUGCUUCCAUUCUUCUGAUUCGUUGUGGUUCCGGAUUGAUUGGUAAUAACGGUUGACCAGAACUUCUAGUAUGGGGCAUGCACUAAAAGAAAAACCUGCAAUAAACAAAAACAAAAACUAAACGUAAAAGUACGAGAAUCUUUGACCAAAGGGUCUAGUAAUUUUCACGAACUUGAUUGACACUCGUAUUCCCCGGCAACGGCGCCAAUUUUUGAUAACGCUCAAUCUACAGCUCUCGUGGGAGUGUAAAGCGGUCGUUAGCAAAUAUAGAACCCAACCUGGGUUGGGUAUCGAUCCCACAGAGAAUAGCUUGGCCAACAAGCAAGAAAAAUUACUAGACUUUUAGUGCAAGUCUCGUAGGAAAGGGGGGAUUGUAGUAUGUAACCAAAACAAGAAUGUAAGAACUGAAAAUAGCAAAAUAAAGAGAGAUUGUCACGUGUGUUGUAAACAAUGAGAAUUGAGGCGUUGGGGUUAUGUCCACCUUCUGAGGUAUACGUCUCUAUUGGCUAUGAGUGUGUAGAGUCUUGACAUGUAAUUGCUUAUAGAGAAUUGUAGUCGAUGGUAAAUCCAAGCGUCUCUCGACCUAAACAAGGACUAUUUCACUUUAACUCUCUCGAGCUUAAAGCGUGACUAACGGUACGAAUUCUCCAAGAAGUUAGUCCAGGUACGGCACUAGCUUUUUAAUAGGAAAGGGUGUCCUACUACCUUGACAUUAUCUCUUUUCCAGACAAAUAACUUUUCUCUCGAACAAGUCAGAUGUUAGACUGGCGUUGGUCUAUGCGUCUUCUUUUCUAGACAAAUAACCUUUCUCUCGAACAGGUUAGAUGUUAGAAUGGCGUGUUCUUGUGUUUGAACCGCAAAGAAUGUAGAUUUAAGAUGAAGAGAAUAAUGAUAUAAGCAAUAUACUUGUCUUGAACUCACAAACUCAUAGCUAUAGAUAGUAACUCAUUCGGCUUCCAUAACCCCAACUAAGAGAUUUAGUUACCCAUGAAUGCGAAGGAUAUCACGUUUUGCAUGGUGGAUGGCGUGAAUAGUAGGUGUUUGGCGUGUGGUUUUAGUGAUUCCGUAGCAAGUAACAAUUCUCUUGUUGUGGAAUUUAAGAGUAGAAGAAUGAAGAAUUGAGAAUGGGUUGUAGGAAGAUGUCUUAAUUGUAAGGAGAUGAAUGAAUUGUCAGAAUGUCUCCCUUCUUGAAAAUCUCUAACAUGAUAGGGUAUUUAUAAUACUCCUAUCCUACUCCUACUAAACUAAUAAAAUAAAUAACCAAAUCCUAAUAUACUAAUGAAAUCCUUGACCCAAUUGUACUAGGGUAAGGUUACAAAAUUAUAAUCCAAAUAGAAUGAUGAAACACAUAACCUAAUUGCACUAGGUUAAUGUAUUAUGGCAAAAAUCCAGCUUUGUGUCUGUAAGUCCCAAAGUCUUCAGAAAUGCUGUUUUAGCCCGGGACAGAUUUUCCAUGCAGCAGAUUUAGUCCUUUAUGCGUCCAGCUCCUUUCCAUCUCGUUUGUGAGCUUUCUUUUGCGUCAAGUAAGCCAUAAAUUGCUGUAUUUUGCAUCAUUUAUACCUGAAACUUUCCUAAUCACAUUUGUUAGCUCAUUUACAGGAAAAAGGACUAAAAGUGUACGAAAUAGAUAAUUAGUUCUCGAAACUAGGCUAAAAUAUGGGCAAAAUAUAUUGAUAUAGGCGCGUAAUUUCGCCUAUCAUCAACACCCCACACUUAGAGCUUUGUUCGUCCUCGAACAACAUAUCAUGUCCUUCUAAGCAUUGACUUAAGGUUUUUACAGAAACAACACAAAACAUUCUUCAAGGUAUUUUUUAUGAACAUGCAUGCUUUAAAAUGGGGGUUUUCAAUCAAAUGCUAAUAUCUUGCUUUCAAUAUAAUUUCUAAGUCAUUUUCUUUAUGUUGUGGGAAUUGUUUGCCUAUAUACUUAAAUUAUUGAAACCAUGCAUAUGUGAUUUGAGAUUUUCCAUGGAAGUUUGAUAAAUAUGAAUGAUAAAUUGUUUUCAAAUUCCCGUGAUAAUGUUUCUAUACUCUAUAUUGUAUUGUGAACAACAAAAGAGAGCAUGAAUUUGAAAUAAAUAUUGUUCACCACUUGUAAAUGAUGAAGCACCUUGGUUUUUACAUGAUUAUGCAUAUGUGGAUGUGAUAUUGAUGACUUGCAAGUCGGGUAUGAAGAUACCCUUCAGAAUACGAUAUCAGAUUGAAUAAGAUGAAAUUUAAAUACAUUGAUUUUACAUGAGAAAGGUGGAUGCCUAAAGAAGGCAUUUGAGACACAAGGGCUCAUCAUUGGAAAACGUGUUUACCGACAUGGAAUAUUGGUACCAGGUUAAGUGAUCUUGUGUACUUGACUUCAUGUCAUUCCCAAAUUGGGACUAUAGGUAGGAGCCCAGGCUAAGUGAUCUCGGGCACUACCAUUAGGUCGAUACACCAUGCUAUGUGAUCUUGUGUGUCUCUCCCUCACUUAUACUCUAAUCUCGGCGGCAACCGAGGUUUGACAGUUGGAGUAAAUCAUGUAGGGUGUUUCACCUAGCUCAGUUGCAUUUCAUUAUUGUUGAGAAAAACUAUUGUAUUACACCCAUGUGCUUUCAAAUGAUUUGAUACGAAAUUGCUUUAUAAUGGCUCUUAACUAUGUAUUGUAAAAAUAUUAUAUUUUAUUUUGAUAUAUCUGUGUGCCAGUACUUUUGUGUUGACCCCCUUCCCUCUCUAACCACUCAGGUUCAGAGGCCCAAUUCAGGGGUCAAGAGAAUCAGUAGAUCUUUCUGUCAGAGCUGUAGAGACAAGUGGUGAGACUUCUAUGUUUCGGAAGGUCUUAUGUCCUGCAGUCCUUUUAUCUUAUAUUCAGUUUUAGGGUUUACUGGGGGCCUUGUCCUAGUUUAUAUACGGUUACUUGACUCAGUCAUUUGUUGGAUAUUUUCACAGACAGUUGUUUAGAGGUUAAUUGAUGUUGAGGGAACCUUAUCUCCCUGUUAUUGUUUCUUUUCAUAUUUAUGACCAUGUUUUUGAAUUAUUGUGUUUUUCCGCAUUACUUUGAUCAUAUGAAUUAGGUGCAUGAUUACCAGACAGAUAGGGGUAUUUUGGGCCUCCAUAGUUUGAAAUGCUCGUCACGGCCAGGCUCGGUUCAGGUCGUGACAAGCUUGGUAUCAAAGCAUAGUUCAUGGUCCUAGGGUGUCUGCGAAAUCACGUUAGAUAUACUCUUAUUUAUGGGUGUGGAGCGUGUCACACUCAUAAGCAGGAGGCUGCUAGGCAUUUAGGAAAUGUUUCCCUUCUUUUUGAUUUAGUUCGUGCUUCAGAGUCUAAACUGUACCCUAAUCAAUGAUCACUUGUGUUUCAGAAAACACAGUUAUGCCUCUACGUCGUAUCAUCGAUCAGAAUGCUCAGGAAGAUGAGGUCCGUCCUACCCAUGGGAUGUGGAACCAUAACAGGGCUCACACUCCAAAAUUUGUCCCUACUCCGGGAGUCCCUCCAAUCCCGACCAGUCCACCUCGGGCUCCGCAGACUAAUGUUAAUCGUCCCCCAACUGCUCAAGGAGAUAUUUCAAAUGCAGAAUUCAGAUGGUCUAUUCAUAGGCUGACACAAUUGGUAGCUAACUAGGCUUAAAGAUCAGAAGAUGUUGGGUCUGCAUCUGUUACAUUUGAGGCUACUAGAGUCGGUCAUUUCAUAAAGAUAAACCCACCUAAGUUCACUGGCACUAAGGUAGAGAAAGAUCCACGGGAGUUCGUGGAUGAGAUGGAAAGGAUCUUUAAGGUGAUGUAUGUGGAUGAGGUUGAGGGGGUGGAGCUAGCAACCUAUCAGCUCAAGGAUGUUGCGAAUCAGUGGUAUGCCGACUGGGAAGAUGAAAAAAGGUGAAAGUGCUGAGCCCACAGUUUGGGUCAAAUUUGUGAAAGAUUUUCUUGAUCGAUUCUUUCCUCUGGAGUUGAGGGAGGCCAAAGUGGAAGAGUUUAUGAAUCUAAAGUAGGGCAGGAUGAGUGUCCAGGAGUGCACUUUGAAGUUUAAUAAACUAGCCCGCUAUGCACCAGAGUUGACUAGUAAUAUCAGAGCCUAGAUGAGGAAGUUUGUAUCUGGCCUUGCUGAUAACCUGGUACUUGAGUGCCAGGGUGCUAUGUUGAAUAAGGAGUUAGACUUUGCUCGGCUGACCGUUCAUAUACAGUAGGUGGAUGAGAAGAAGAAAACGAUUGCUGAAUCUAGAGAGAAAGACAGAUAGGCUAAGAGAGCUAGAUCUGCGGACCAGCACCAGAGUCAGCCGCAGAGUGGUAACUGGAGUAAUAAGUGGUCAAAGAAGAAAAAGUUUUGGAAUAAUACACAAUCAGCAGCCAGUGCCCUGACACCCAGACCACCGACAGAAAGACAAACUCAGAUUUUUCAGAUUCCUCAUGGGUCCAAAGCUCUAGGUACACAGUCUUAGGGCAGUGUGGCCCAGCAGCAUCAUACUUAUCCAUGGUGUGAGGUUUGCGAAAGGAAUUAUCGAGGGAAGUGUUGGUUUGAGGGGAGAAACUGCUAUACUUAUGGCAAAGUGGGUCACCUUUAGAGAGAUUGUCCUUCUAUUGGAGGAAGGGGGGGAGGGGGGGCUAAGUCCCAAGCCGCCUUCACAGCUCCUUUUUCUAAGGGUGCCCCUUCAGCUGCCGAAAGCGUUCGCAACUGGUUAUAUUCUUUGACUAACCGCCAGGAGGCGGAAGUUUCACCAGAUGUUGUCAUCGGUAUGUUACGAAUCUUUUCUUAUGAUGUUUAUGUAUUUCUCGAUCCAGGGUCUACUUUGUCUUAUGUGACCCCUUAUGUGGCUGUUGGUUUUGGGUUUGAGCCUGAAGUUAUUCUAGAACCCUUCUCUGUUUCUACUCUUGUACGUGAUUCUGUUGUUGCUAGAAGGGUGUAUAGAAAUUGUUUCGUGUCUAUUCAUAGUAGGGAAACUAUGACAGACCUUAUAGAACUGGAUAUGAUAGAUUUUGAUGCCAUCCUUGGGAUGGGCUGGCUCCAUUUGUGUUAUGCCACCCUUGAUUGCAGAACCCGAAAGGUUAUUUUUUCUUUCCUGAAUGAGACACCAAUUGUAUGGGCAGGGAGUUCGAUAGAACCUAGAGGUCACUUUAUCUCUUAUCUUAAAGCCCGGAAGCUUGUCUCUGAAGGUUGUAUGUAUCAUCUAAUCCGAGUAAAAGAUUCAAAAGUUGGAAACCUUCCUCUGUAGUCAGUCCCUAUAGUGAACGAAUUUCCAGAAGUCUUUUCCAAAGAUCUCCCAGGGAUACCCCUGAUAGGGAGAUAGAUUUUGGCAUUGAUGUAUUGCCAGACACUCGUCCUAUUUCUAUUCCGCCAUAUAGAAUGGCUCCCACGGAACUAAAAGAGUUAAAGGAACAACUUGUAGACCUCCUAGACAAAGGUUUUAUUCAUCCUAGUGUUUCCCUAUAUGGUGCACCCGUGCUCUUCGUGCGAAAGAAGGAUGAGUCCCUUCGGAUGUGCAUAGACUACCGUCAGUUAAAUAAGGUCAUGAUUAAAAAUAAAUAUCCUCUUCCUAGGAUUGAUGACCUUUUUUACCAGCUUCAGGGUACCAAGUGUUUUUCAAAAAUAGACCUUCGUUCGGGUUAUCAUCAGUUGAAAUUUAGGGAGUUAGACAUACCCAAGACAACCUUCCGAACCCGAUAUGGUCACUACGAAUUUCUAGUCAUGUCCUUCGGGUUGACUAACACCUCUGCAGCCUUCAUGGAUCUUAUGAAUAGAGUGUUCCGUCAGUUUCUUGACUUGUUCAUUGUAUUUAUUGAUGAUAUUCUAAUCUAUUCUAAGAGUAAAGAGGAUCACGCCAAUCACCUCUGAAUUAUUCUUCAGACCCUUAAGGAUCAUUAGCUGUAUGCCAAAUUUUCUAAGUAUGAAUUCUGGUUAGACGCUAUUUGCUUCCUGGGGCAUAUUAUGUCCAGUGACGGGAUAAGAGUGGAUCCCCAAAAAGUUGAAGCAGUGAGAAAAUGGCCCAGACCCAUGACUCCAAUCGAUAUUCGGAGCUUUUUGGGUUUGGUGGGGUAUUAUAGAAGUUUCGUAGAGAGUUUUGCUUCCAUAGCUGCUCCGCUUACUAAACUGACUCAGAAAAAGAUAAAGUUUGUGUGGUCUGACUUGUGUGAAAAUAGUUUUGAGAAAUUUAAGGACAAGCUGACUACUGCUCCUGUUUUGACCCUUCCCAAGGGUGUAGAUGAUUUUGUGGUUUAUUGUGAUGCGUUCUGUAUGGGACUUGGUUGUGUAUUGAUGCAGCGUGGUAAGGUGAUAGCUAAUGCAUCUAGGCAGUUAAAGGUGCAUGAGCGCAAUUACCCCAGUCAUGACUUGGAGUUAGUAGCCAUGGUGUUUGCACUUAGAAACUAGAGGCACUAUCUCUAUGGAGUACAUGUUGAUAUUUAUGCUGACCAUAAGAGUUUUCAGUAUAUUUUCUCACAGAAAGAAUUGAACCUCAGGUAGAGGCGUUGGAUGGAGCUUUUGAAAGACUAUGAUAUGAGUCUACAUUACUAUCCGGGCAAGGCAAAUAUUGUAGCCGACGCCCUUAGCAGGUUGUCUAUGGGCAACCUUUCUCAUGUAGAAGAAGGAAAGAAAGAAAUGGUGAAGGAUAUUCAUCGCCUUGCAAAUCUGGGAGUGCGACUCUUAGAUUCUGAAGAUGGAGGGGUGAUUGUUCAUGAGUUAGCUAAGUCAUCUCUUUAUGCUAAAGUUAUGAAAAAGCAGGUUGAAGAUCCCAUCUUGGUGCAAAUAAAGAAAGAUGUGGGUCAAUAGAAGGAAAGAAAGAAAUGGUGAAGGAUAUUCAUCGCCUUGCAAAUCUGGGAGUGCGACUCUUAGAUUCUGAAGAUGGAGGGGUGAUUGUUCAUGAGUUAGCUAAGUCAUCUCUUUAUGCUAAAGUUAUGAAAAAGCAGGUUGAAGAUCCCAUCUUGGUGCAAAUAAAGAAAGAUGUGGGUCAAUAAAAGGUUAUGUCGUUUGAAAUUGGUGGUGAUGGUAUUCUGAGAUUUUAGGGUAGGUUGUGCAUUCUGAAUGUCGAUGGGCUAUGGGAAAAAAUCCUUAAUGAGGCGCACACUUUGAGGUAUGUCAUUCACCCAGGCUCUACUAAGAUGUACCAGGAUCUAAAAACCUUAUAUUGGUGGAAUAACAUGGAACGUGAUGUAGCUGAUUUUGUGUCCAAGUGUUUGAACUAUUAACAAGUGAAGGUGGAACACAUGAGGCCAGGUGGUACUUCCCAAAAGAUAGCCCUACCUUUAUAGAAGUGGGAGAUGAUAAACAUGGACUUCAUUACAGGACUUCUGAGAUCCCGAAACCAGUAUGAUUCUAUAUGGGUGAUUGUAGAUCGAUUGACCAAGUCAUCCCACUUUUUGCUUGGGAGGACUAAUUAUUCGGGAGAGGUUUAUGCUAAGAUUUACCUUGAGGAGAUAGUUUGAUUGCAUGGGGCACCAGUUUCCACUAUAUCUGAUAGACGUACGCAGUUUUCAUCUCAGUUUUGGAGAACCUUUCAGAAGUGUUUAGGUACACAAGUGAAUUUGAGCAUAGCUUUCCACCCUCAGACGGAUGGGAAAGAUGAGCGUACCAUUCAGAACCUCGAAGAUAUGUUGAGGGCAUGCGUCAUUGAUUUCAAAGGUAGUUGGGUAGAUCAUCUUCCACUGGUUGAAUUCGCUUACAAUAAUAGCUACCAUGCCAGCAUCAAGAUAGCUUUUUUUGAGGCUUUGUAUGGAAGGAGAUGUAGGUCUCCGAUAGGAUGAUAUGAAGUGGGUGAGACUCAGUUGUAUGGGCCUGAUCUUGUUCAUCAGGCGAUGGAGAAAGUGAAGAUAAUUAGAGAACGACUAAAGACUUCUCAGAGUCGUCAGAAGUCCUAUGCCAAUGUUCGGAGAAGAGAACUAGAGUUUGAAAUUGGUGAUUGGGUGUUUCUCAAGGUUUCUCCUAUGAAAGGAGUUAUGCGGUUUGGAAAAAGGGGUAAAUUAAGCCCUCUUUAUGUAGCACCAUAUCAGAUUUUGAAAAAGAUUGGUAUAGUUGCAUAUGAGUUAGAAUUGCCUGCAAGUUUGGGUUCCGUUCAUCUGGUAUUCCAUGUAUCCAUAUUGAAUAAAUUCAUUGGAGAUCAUUCUAUGGUAUUGCCAGUAGAGGGUAUCAAAGUGACAGACUCCUUGUAUUACGAAGAAGAGCCCGUUGACAUUUUAGAUUGCCAAGUUCGAAAGCUGAGGAGCAAGGAAAUAUCCUCAGUAAAGGUACUGUGGAGGAAUCAGAAAGUCGAAGAAGCAACUUGGGAGUCAGAAAAUGACAUGAGAAUUAGAUAUCCUAAUUUGUUUGCUUCGAUGGAAGAGGAGACAGAAGGUACUAUUCCUAUCUUAUCUUUCCUAGUCCUUUAUUAUGCUUGAAAUCGUGUCUUUCUAUGUCCCGCAUCAUCAUUCGGGGAUGAAUAAUCCUAAGGGGAGAUAAUGUAAUGCCCCGUAAUUCGGGCUAUCAUAUAGACCAUAAUUUUGAUGCAUUGUUAAUCCCGAAGCCAUAAAAUCCUAUGCUGAUACGGCAUGUUAAUUAUUGUGUGGCAUGUGAAUCCACUCAAGCUUUAGUUUAGACCAUAGAGGUCCUUCAACUCAAGGACAAGUUGAAACUAUUACGAUCGACUAAGUUUUAGUGGAUGUUGUAAAGUGUGUCAGCUUCCAUCGACCAUAACUCUCUAUAUAUGUCGAAUUAGAGAGCCUACUAUGUUUCAAAUGAUAGGUAUUCAAGUUAGCUUUCCAACAAUACCAAUUUGGCUUAAAAGCCGACACCCGAGCAAGAAGUUAUGGCCCUUUAAAGUGAUAAGCGUCGCCUAACCAAUCGCCCAUGGCCACUGGAAAGCAUAGGCAAUAGCCUAUGCGGCGCCUAUGUAAACAUAGGCGAUAGCCUAGGCGGCACCUAUGUGAACAUAGGCAAUGGGAUGGGCUGCGCCUAUGUAAACAAUUCUAGUGACUUAAACACUCCGUGUUGAGGAAUAAGUGGUCCUUUUCCACCCUUACUUAGCCCUAAAAUACGAAAUCUAGUUCCAAGGACCCCAAAAUACAUAUUCUUUCAUCAAAAGUGCUUAAGGAUUCUCCUUAGGGUUUCAAAAUAAAAACCCAAAUAGUUCAAGAUUUGACCGUAGAUUUUCAAAGAUAAUUACAUAUUUGGAAUCACCAAUCUGCAAGCUUCAAGAAACAUCUAUUAUCCUGGGAAAUAGAGGUACGUGGGGUUAUCCAAAAAUCUCAUGGGUGUAGUUUUUAUGAACAUGCAUGCUUUAAAAUGGGGGUUUUCAAUCAAAUGCUAAUAUCUUGCUUUUAAUAUGUUUUCUAAGUCAUUUUCUUUAUUUUGUGGGAAUAGUUUACCUAUAUACUUCAAUGGUUGAAACCAUGCAUAUGUGAUUUGAGAUUUUCCAUGGAAGUUUGAUAAAUAUGAAUGAUAAAUUGUUUUCAAAUUCCCAUGAUAAUGUUUCGAUACUCCAUAUUGCAUUGUGAUCAACAAAAGAGAGCAUGAAUUUGAAAUAAAUAUUAUUCACCACUUGUAAAUGAUGAAGCACCUUGGUUUUUACAAGAUUAUGCAUAUGUGGAUGUGAUAUUGAUGACUUGCAAGUUGGGUUUGAAUAUACCCUUCAGAAUACGAUAUGUGAUUGAAUAAGAUGAAAUUUGAAUGCAUUGAUUUUACAUGAGAAAGGUGGAUGCCCGAAGAAGGCGCUUGAGACACAAGGGCUCAUCAUUGGAAAACGUGUUUACCGACAUGGAAUAUUGGUACCAGGCUAAGUGAUCUUGUGUACUUGACUUCAUGUCAUUCCCAAAUUGGGACUAUAGGUAGGAGCCCGGGCUAAGUGUUCUUGGGCACUACCAUUGGGUCGAGACACCAUGCUUUGUGAUCUUGUGUGUCUCUCCCUCACUUAUACUCCAAUCUCGGUGGCAAUCGAGGUUUGACAGUUAGUGUAAAUUAUGUAGGGUAUUCCACCUAUCUUAGCUGCAUUUCAUUAUUGUUGAGAAAAACUAUUGUAUUACACCCAUGUGCUUUCAAAUGAUUUGAUACGAAAUUGCUUUAUAAUGGCUCUUAACUAUGUAUUGUAAAAAUAUUAUGUUUUGUCUUGAUAUCUCUGCGUGCCAGUACUUUUGUGCUGACCCCCUCCCUUCUCCAACCUCUCAGGUUCAGAGGCCCAGUCUAGGGGUCAAGAGAAUCAGUAGAUCUUUCUGUCAGAGCUGUAGAGACAAGUGGUGAGCUUUCUAUGUUUCGGAAGGUCUUAUGUCCUGCUGUCCUUUUAUCUUAUAUUCAGUUUUAGGGUCUACUGGGGGCCUUGUCCUAGUUUAUAUACGGUUACUUGACUCAGUAAUUUGUUAGAGAUUUUCGCAGAUAUUUAUUUAGAGGUUAAUUGAUGUUGAGGGAACCUUUUCUCCCCGUAAUUGUUUCUUUUCAUAUUUAUGACCAUGUUUCCAAAUUAUAGUGUUUUUCCGCAUUACUUUGAUCAUAUGAAUUAGGUGCAUGAUUACCAGACAAAUAGGGGUGUUUCGGGCCUCCAUGGUUCGAAAUGUUCGUCACAGCCAGGCCCCGGUUUGGGUUGUGACAAUCGGAGUAAUAAAAGAUCAAAAAAACCUAUAUGAAAUAAUACAAAUCCUAGGAAAACUAGAAAUAAUUGGAAAGAAACUCUUGAAGCACUAGGACUCUAAUCAAAUUACCUAUAAAUUAGAAAUAAUCAAUCUAGAAUAUACUAUAAAGACAACAUCUAUAAAAGCUACAAAUGAAGAUCUUAAAGAUUUUAAAGUACAAAUAAAGGAACUGUUAGAAUUAGGGAUAAUUAGGAGAUCCAAGUCAAGACAUAGAUGAACAACUCUCAUAGUAAGAAACCAUAGUGAAAUGGUACGAGGGAAAGCUAGAAUGGUAAUAAAUUACAAAAGACUAAAUGAUAAUACUACUAUGGAUUGAUAUAAGUUACCAGACAAAACAGAAUUAAUAAAUAGAAUACAAGGAAGAAAAGUAUUUAGUAAGUUCAAUUAUAAAUCUGGAUAUUGGAAAAUUAAGAUGCACGAGGAUAGUAUAGAAUGGACAGCUUUCACAUGUCCAGAAGGGCAUUUUGAAUGGCUAGUUAUGUCGUUCGGACUAAAAACAGCUCCUCCAAUUAUCCAAAGAAAAAUAAAUUGUAUUUUUUUGUAAUUAUAAGAAUUUUGUAUUAGUAUAUGUAGAUGACAUUUUAGUUUUCAGUAAUAACAUGAGAGAACAUCUAGGACAUUUACAACAAGUCUUUAAAUUGUUUGUAGACAAUGGAAUAAUAAUAAGUAGAAAGAAAAUGGAACUAUACAAAAAUAAUAUUAAUUUUCUAGGAGUAGUCAUUGGGGAUGGUAGACUAAAACGACAACCACACAUAGCUAAGAAUGUCUUACAAAUGCUAGAUAGAUUAGAUAAGACCAAGGAUUUGCAAAAAAUUUUAGGACUACUAAAUUAUGCUGAAACUUUCAUUAACGAUUUAGGAAAGGUAGCAGAGAUGCUAUAUUCUAAAAUUGGAUCAACAUGCUAGAAGAUUUUAAUGCUGAAGAUAUAAAAUUAGUCCAACAGCUUAAACACGUGAUCCAAGAUAUCCCAGAAUUGACACUGCCAUUAAAAAUAGACUAUUUAACAGUCGAAACUGAUUGAAGUCUUCGAGGAUGGAGAGCAAUAUUAAAAGCAAAACCUAAUAAAUACAGUGAGAAGAAAGAUGAGAAAAUUUUUGCUUACUCAAGCAUAAAAUAUAAGAAAAAAGGAAAUCUGAGUAGGAUAGACAUGGAAACCCUAGCAGUAAUCUACAAUUUAAAUAGUUUUAAGCUUUAUAUACAAAAUAAACCUGAAAUAUUAGUUAGAACUGACUGCGAAACUAUAGUAAAAUUCUUUCAAAAAAUAAAAGAAAAGAAUAGUAGUAAAAUGAGGUGGAUAACAUUAUGCUGGAAAUUAUUAAAGGAAAAGGUAAUAACCUAGAAAAUCAAGUUAGUAGACUAAUAAAAUACAACUAAUGAGUUUUGUUUCAGUAUGUAUACAGGCUAGGGAAAAGGUAAGGCUGAGGCCUUGUCCUCCCAAGACUAUCUGAGGAAUUUAAUGAGCAAUACUUAUUAAAGACCACUUACAAUGUUGGAACAUCUGAAAUUAGAAAGGAUAAUUUUCGGGCCGCACAACUUGAUCAGUUAUGAGCGCUCCAACCUGACUUUCAAGAUUAGACCAGACGUGCGAGUGGACAAAAAACAAA
rnacentral:lncRNA from 1 species